ACCAUAUUUUUGGAGUCAAGCUCUCUCACUGAACCUGGAACUUGCCACUUCACUUAUACUCGUUGCUAGGAAAUCCCUCAGAUUUGUCUGUCUUCUGCCUCACUUGCUAUGAUUUAUGUGGGUUCUGGGGAUCUGAACUCAGGUCCUCCUGCUUGUUCAACAAGCAUUUAGCCAACUGAGCUACUUCCCAACACCACAGAUUUGGCUUUUAGUCUAAUGAAUAUUCUCUGGUUAGCCACAUCUUCAGAUGAACAGCAGUGAGAUGGAGCAGUGAUGGAGAAUCAACCCAGACAACAUCUCAUGGGCACCGUGAGCCAUGGAAGAAGCAGGUGCCCAGUGAGGGAGGGUGAUAGAUACAGAAGACCAAACUCAGAGUAGGGCAGGGCUGGCCUGCACACAAACCAGACAGUGCCUUUGGAAUGGAAUGGCCUCCAAUGAGCCAUGAUUUCCCCACCUCACUCCUGCAUGCAAACUUCACCCCACACAUGUACCAAGUGUUAAAGUAUGCACAGUGAUGUGGACAGUCCCAGUUCUCUCAUAAAAGCCUAUUUUGGAGUUCAGUCCCCUAAGGAGAUAGGACAACGGUUCUUGGUAGUGAUGGGGUCUAGAGAUUUUGUUCCAGGGACAUUUGUUGAACUACAGCUUUUGGCCCUAGGGAAGGAGUUGUUGAAUUAUCCAGAAGAUGGGAUAGGGGAGACAAGGAUGCAGACUAGCUCUGAGAUAGAAACUGCCAGAAAUCAAGGGCUUCCAGGGAAUCACAAAUGAGAGUCCUGCCAGGAUCCCAGAAGAACAUGGUGAGUGAGGAGUGGGCGGCUCCAUAGUGUGCUGUUCCUAAGGAGUGCAGGGCAGGGAUGCAAAUUCAACUAGCUGGAAAGUCCAAGAAUCAGUCAGGUUUGUGGGAGACUACAGAGUCAUCAUUCUGAGCUCAUUCCUAAGUCCCUCUGGUUUCCUAAGACUGUGUCCAGUUGCCAGAUGUGGCUAGCUUGUGAGUAAAGCAGAGUGGAGAGAAGCCCUCAUCCCUCAGGUGGGUCUCUGAGUCUUCUCGUAGACUCCAAUGAACGUGUUGCCACCAGCCUUUGUGGUGAGGCCUCAUCUUGGAAUCUCUGCUGGGGCAGACUGGAGUUGAGCUUCCUACCUUCUCCUAGGCCCUCUGUACCACACCAGGCACCAGUCCAGUAGCAAGAGGCUCUUGCCUUCCCAUGAAGUCAUACUAACUCCGGGUUCUCUCCUCAUGCCUUACCAGACUUAAGAUCAUCUCCCAUCCUGGCUGGCCUUUAGGGGCAAUCCUACUACACCAUUCUAGCCAGAGCCUCCAACGCCUGACUGGAAGUCUCCUAGAUGGCUCAGGAAAAGGCAAAAGACAUCUCCGAAUCUUCUAGGAUGUCCAUGGUAGACUGAUAGCCUCUUCAUUGCCAAGCCCCUGCUGUCCCCAGGUACUUUGCAACCCCAGUGCCUGCUAUGGGGGUGGCUCCUAUCUUUGGGAUUCUAGGGCAGUGUAGGGAUAUCUGACCCCUAUCUAGACUAGAUAAACUAUGUUUUCCUGCCCACUGGUUUCUGUGUCUCUAUCCUUAUCUACUAGGGCAAUUUGACCUACUUUGAAGGUGGGUAACCCGGCUGGCCUGGUGAUGGAAGGCAGAGAUAAGUGGGGCUGUCUCCUGGGCCUGUGGCUUCCUUACUUGGGGACAUAAGAUUCUCAUGGUAUCCCCUCCCUGAGGCCCUGGCAGGUGGGGCUGAGGCUUCUACACUGCAGUUAGGCUGUAGUUGUGGUGGGGUUCACCUCUCCACAGUUGGCAGAUAAGACAGAGAGCCAGCAAGGACUGGUAUGGCAUGGUCUGGCUUCUCAGGAGGACUUUGUUGCUCUCGGGGUGCAGGACUGAACUUGGCUCCAUGACAGCUUCUUUUUUCACAUCAUCAAAAUUGGCCUUGGAAGACUGUCCUGCCUGAUGUAUGAUCCAUUGUCCUGGGUGGGGACACCAAGGGGGGACCUGAGCUCAUCUUUACAUUUCUCUGGUCUCUGUCAAGGGCUACACUAAACACAUUGGGAAAGAAGAGGCUCUCAAUGUUUACCAUGGCAUCAUAGCUUGCAGCAAAAGUGGGGUUCAGUCCUAUUGCCUGGCUUCAUGGUUGCAUGGCUCUUUGCUGAGGGGUCCUGAGCUAUGGACUGUAAGAUAUGAAACAACAGUGAAGAUGUCCCCUAGGAGGCAUAAUCGCCCAUUCCUCAUUGGGAACCCCUAGAUGAAGAACAUCACGUGGACAGCCUCUGAGCUCAGUGCUGCGGGGUACACCAGCCAUCUCAUCACUGUGACAAGUGUCAAGGCUGGGCCAUUUGGUGAUUCGUGUUUUUCACACUGCUGGAAUUCAAGACAUCUGGGAUGUCCAAGGUCUUUCCUUAACUCUGCAUAAUGUCAGUUUUGUGUCUGACAGCCAAUCCCAACAGUGAGAUAGAAUGCUAGAUAACCUAUGUGAAAAGGCAAAGGGUGGGUUUAUGGUAGAUGCCUUCCUUGUAACAGAACUGUUCUCUUAAGCAGCUCAGUGCCCAUGUGAGUACAACUGUCCUCAGCCUCGCCUGCCUGUGUAUGAGCUCCCCAGGCAACACUGAGGAUACAAGAGACCCAGGUCUCACAGCAACAAGCUUUGGCUUAGGAGGUCUGGAAUGCUGGCACAGCAGGUGUUUAGUACUCCCUGAUGAUCUUAGUACUCAGUCAGGGCUGCUGACCUCAGAAUCCUUCCUGAACAUGGAUGCAUGCUUCUUGCACAGAUCCUAUCUGGUUCCUGUUCAGCGGGGGAAGGUACAAGUCCAACAAUCAGGCACAAUGGAAUGGAUAGGAACUGUGUCCCAAGGUCCCCAUGUCAAGGGCUUAAUCCCUAGAGUGGCACUGUGGGGAAGAGAUAGGGACUUUAAGGGGUGAAGCCCACGUUCUUGGUCAUUACUUGGUGGGGUGCCCUAUAAGGGGUCUCUAGAACCCUAGUCUCUCCUCUUUGCACUUCCUGGUCAGGUGGUGAGUGGCUUUUGCUCUGCCACCCUUUCCUGCCAUGAUAUGCUUCCUCACUACAGCUCCAAAUCAACAGGCCCAACCAAGCACAAUUGCAACCUCCAAACCUGUACCCAAAGUCAACCAUUUUUGUCUGCAAGCUGAUUGCUCCAGGCAUUUGUUACAGUAAAGGAAAGCUGACCGACACAUCGUUGAUGAGAAUCCAUGGAGAGGAAAGGCUGCAGAGGGGACAGCUUCGAGGCCUCCAGGUCCCUGGUUCUUUCAUCAGCACUUGUAAGAAUGGAUCUAGAAUAUGUACCAGGCCCCUCAUGGCUGGAUAAUGUGAGGCUUAAAGAUCCUUGGGGAGAGAUGAAGUCACAACCUUAGGCCAUUAAUUAAUGGGAUUAAAUUCUGCAGAUAUGUUCUAAAAAGAAACAGGGUUUGGAUAGAGUUUGCCACUCAAGAUGUUGUGUUAUGAGCACUUGGUUCCCAAUGUGACGAUGUGAACAUGGAGAGCAUGUAGGAAGACUGCUGGAAGGUGGUUAGGUCAUGGAGCCUCCACCCUCAUGAAUGGAUUGGUGUUACCUCCUGGGCAAGGGUUAGGUCUUGUGGGGCUAAAUUAGUUCCUUUCAGGAUAGUUUUAUAAGAGAGCCCUGUGUCUGCCCUGAACCUUCCUUCCACAGAUGCCAAUCACCAUGCUGUCCUUGUGAUGUCAAUCACUGUGAGGUCCUCACAGAGCUGAACACCAACCUCUGAGUCUCCAGAACUGUGGAGCAAGUCAACUAUCUUCUUUUUCUACCCAUGUAGAGACCAGAGGCUUGUAAGCAGCUUUAUAACUGGAGGGUACAAUCUACCAUGGGAUCCCCAGACUGAAAAAACCUGUUAGGACAUGCUGGCUGGAGUAAGAUGAGCAGGGAGCAGGUUCUGUGGACUGGAAAGGUGGCCUCCUCCUUCUGAGCAGGUGCUAGGGCCAGGCUGUUCCGUGUCCUUUCAUCCCACUGUAGACCUUGGGUGGUCAGCCAGCAUGGAUGGAGACAGCAAGGGACCAAAAGAGAAAGACACUCCAAGUUCAAUCUCUGCAGAGUGAGCCUGGCUUUGGAUCCAUUUCACAAAUCUAACCCUCCCUCAGAGCUUCUGUUUGAAUGGUGCCAAGGCCCAGAAGAUGAACUGCUGGUCUGUUCUCUUCUUUCUGGGACAAGGAUAACACAUACUACAUCCUCUGGGUUAGGAACAUGUUAACCUGGGGCUGACUUCGAGCUCAAGGUCAUUAUCCUGUCUCAGUCUCCCCAGUACCAGGAUUACAGAUGCCUACCACCAUGUUUGCUGGAACAAUUUUUUAUUG